rnacentral:lncRNA from 1 species
CUUUUUUUUUUUUAAAGACAGGAUGAAAUGAUAGCAAAUCCAACUUUGUUUACAGUUAAUUUUAUUUUUUUUUUUCAAGAAUGAUCAUUAUAAAUUGCCCUAUCAAUAUUAAGCAUUAUCCUUGGAGACCUGUUGGACAGAACUAGUCCCGAACUGGAGGAGGAGCAGAGGAGACAUUAUGCUCUUAUCUGUUUGUGCAGAAGCCUGGGGUGCUUGUAAUAACAGCAGUACUGGACUGUGCACAGAGAGCCUGUUCUGAAAGUGUUGGUUCACAUUCUCCUGUAUGAGGUAGGGAAGAAAACAGUUGAGCUUUUGCACAGUGUGCUUGCUAAGCUGUCAUCAGGUACAGAAGAUCUGAAGAUAAAGAAGCUUUUGAAGACAGUGAAACAGACAGAAAUACUGGUAAAUGCAGAGUAAGUGUAGAUAUCUGUAUUCUAUUAUUUAGGUCCUUGUUUAAAUCACUCUAACACCUCACAUGCACUUAUUCAAGAAGUGUUACUGCUCCGGCAACUCCCAGUCCCAAGCUGAAGAAACAGAUAGUAGUGAAAGUUAC